rnacentral:piRNA from 1 species
UUGGUGCUUUUGUUACUUCAGACCACUAA